UGGCUCAACUCAAGCUACGAGCGUUCUGCA
rnacentral:piRNA from 1 species